rnacentral:rRNA from 1 species
GACAGAGGGUGCAAACGUUGUUCGGAAUUACUGGGCGUAAAGCGCACGUAGGCGGAUCCUUAAGUCGGGGGUGAAAUCCUGGAGCUCAACUCCAGAACUGCCUUCGAUACUGAGGAUCUCGAGUCCGGGAGAGGUGAGUGGAACUGCGAGUGUAGAGGUGAAAUUCGUAGAUAUUCGCAAGAACACCAGUGGCGAAGGCGGCUCACUGGCCCGGUACUGACGCUGAGGUGCGAAAGCGUGGGGAGCAAACAGG